rnacentral:rRNA from 1 species
UACGUAGGGACCAAGCGUUGUUCGGAUUUACUGGGCGUAAAGGGCGCGUAGGCGGCAAUUCAAGUCAGUUGUGAAAUCUCCGAGCUUAACUCGGAACGGUCAACUGAUACUGUUUUGCUAGAGUGCAGAAAGGGCAACCGGAAUUCUUGGUGUAGCGGUGAAAUGCGUAGAUAUCAAGAGGAACACCGGUGGCGAAGGCGGCAUCCUGGACCAAUAUUGACGCUGAGGAGCGAAAGCCAGGGGAGCAAACGGG